rnacentral:lncRNA from 1 species
AUGCGUCAGCGCGUCGGCCUGGACUACAACUCCCAGCCACCCCUAAGACGUGCCCGCCCGACCUCUCCUAGGCGGCGGCCAUCUUGGCCAGCCAUCUCGGAUGGCAGGCGAAGCCCGGGCCGCCCAGAAGAGGGCCUUCGCCGGCGACCCUCGGUGGUCCAGCUGGAUUGGGGCCUCAACACUUCUCGAAGCCGGCUGGGUGCUCCGCGUGUAGCUGGCAAGGGUGAAUCCAGGGAGGACUGCGGAGGAUUUCAGGCUCUUGAUGGCCUGUGUUGCAGGCUGAACUUCGCGGAUGAUUUUUCCUUUCACCUGUGGGGUCACCUUAGAGCCCUGCGAUUGGGAUCCUCACCAAACGCCUUGAGGACCUUGACACCCAGGAACCGUUGUCCUCUCCCCUUGUCGCCGGUAGAGGGCGCCGCCGCCGUAGCUAACGCGACGGGCAGGAGGAGGUGGCGCGCCGCGCCCGCGGCCUUCUGGGAGAUGUAGGCGGCCGGGGAGCACGCAAGGGGUGGUGGGGAACCGGAAGUGGGUGCGCAAGUACCGGGAGGGGUGCGCGGCUGCCUUGCGAGUAUGAGGUGAUGGACAGCCCCGUGUCCACCUUGCUGUUGGUGGUAAAGCUGCGCGUUUAGCGCUCGUGCUGCGGCGGCGGCGGGGCUGCCGGGAUGAACCCGGGUAGGGUCGCAGGCGGCUCCAGUGGGGGCAGGUGCCUGCUGUUGGCUAUCACCGGGGGGUGGGGGGGGCAUCUCCCAGAUCCGCAGUCUGGGCAUGGGCCUUUCUCCGGAUCCAACUCCGGCUCCCAGCAAGACUUCCAAGUUCUGGAGGAGGAGAAGCACUGGUGGCAGACAUCUGGCCCCCGGAUAUCUGCGCACAGAUCUUCCCACAGAUAAGCAGUAGCUCAGUUCCUGUCCAGUCACAGGGGACAGCUCAGGGCCCGAGAGUCCUUGGGAUCCACUGACGUUGAAGCUAAAGGGCAAGUUCUGAGCCCCACCCCCACUCCCAAUGUACAGUGGUGAGCAGAGACUGGAUUCUUAAAAGAAAAGGCAGAUUCCAAGGUACAGCACUUGCGAAAUCUUGUUCUGACCACAGAGGAGGCUUUUGUUUUGGUUUGGUUUUUUAAUUUAACGUCAGUUAAUUAUUAUUAUUUUUUUUUUUUAAAGAUUUUAUUUAUUUAUUCGACAGAGAUAGAGACAGCCAGCGAGAGAGGGAACACAAGCAGGGGGAGUGGGAGAGGAAGAAGCAGGCUCAUAGCGGAAGAGCCUGAUAUGGGGCUCGAUUCCAUAACGCCAGGAUCACGCCCUGAGCUGAAGGCAGGCCCUUAACCGCUGUGCCACCCAGGCGCCCCUAACGUCAGUUAAUUAACAUACAGUGUAUUAUUAGUUUCAGAGGUAGAGUUUAGUGAUUGGGAAGCUUAUUUUUUUUUUAAGACCCUGAUUCUUCCCUCUGGAGGAAAACCCCCUAUUCUAUGUCCUCUGGGUCCCUGGCCUGGCCUCUGGGAGGCCUUUUCUCCAUUCUGGAAGGGGGCAUCACAAAAGUUCAAAUCAAAAAUAAAAUAUUAACAUCGCCCCCAAGAUGCUUCCUUGCUGUUUCAUUACAGUCAAUAUCAUCUCUCCUCCAAAGGUUUACAAAAACACUAUCCUGAUUUCUAUUGCCAUGGAUUCCUUUUGCCAGUUUUUGAAUUUUGCAUAAAUGGAGUUCUUAAGUAUGUAUUCUUUUUGCCUUCUUUUGCUCAACACUAUGUUUUUAAGAUUUAUCCUUUUUUGUGUAAGUAGUGGUUGGUUUGGUCUAGUAUCCCACUGUAUGAAAAUGCCAAACUCGGUUCAUUCUAUUGGUAGGUAUUUGGGUUGAUUAUGCUUUGGGACCUUUAUGAAUACCGUAAAUACCAUGGACAUUCUUGCAUAUAGCUUUGGUUGCAUCUUGGUGUGCCUUUCUGAUUGGGAAUAUGCCUAGGAGUGAAAUUGCUGGGUGACAGGUUGUCCUGUUGUUCAGAUUUAGUAGAUGCUGCCAAAUAGUUUUCCAAAGUAGUUAUACUAAUUUAUACUCCUACAAGUAGUAUGUGAAAGUUCCAGUUGCUCUACAUUCUUGCCAAUGCAAAGAUAUUAUGAGUCCUUUUAACUUUAGCCAUUCUGGUAGGUGGGACUUGGUAUGUCCUGUUUUGUUUUUUUUUAAUUACCAUCACUGAGAUAUAAUUUAUGAACAAUAAAAUGCACCCAUUAUAUGUUCAAUGUGUUCUGACAAAUGUAUGCAAUUUUAUAACCAUCAACACAACCAAAGUAGAGAACAUUUCCAUUAUUUCAAAAGUGCCCUGUGCCCCUUUUAGUUGAUUCCCUCUCUUCACCCAAGACUCUUGCAACCCUGACCUGCUUUCUGUUUCUACAGUUUUGUCCUUUCUAAAAUUUCAUAUAGUUUCUGGUGCUGGUCAAGCUGAUGUAAGCCAAUUACAGCCUCUUUCUCCAAUCGACUACAAAUGAAAUCUCUGAAUAGAGUUCAAAAGCAACUACCUAAGGACUCUGAAAAGUAAACAAUGGCAGAUUGGGUACAGAAAUAAAAACUUGAAUGAUGAUAUGUAUGUAAAAGAGGUGUGGUUUGUGUUUUCGCCCCCUACAUUUUCUCCUAGUUUUUACAGAAGAGCAGGCCAAAUCCUGGAACUGUACCAUAGGCACAAAACUCCAGGAACCUCCCCCCACCCCCUAUUUCUAGCCAGAGGACUGGUAAGAGAAACCUUACUUGACCAAAGAAUUUCAGGGGAUUUCUGCUAAUCUUUUCCCCCACCACUUUGCCUGGAAAGCAUACCCCAUUGCAUGGAACUGCACAAUAGCACAGGGGCUAAAACUUAGAGAAACUUGUCUCCCUGGCCAGAGAAACCAGAAAAAGGCCACUUCUGUCUGAAGACUGUGUGGUGGGGGGGAUCUCAAUUACUUUUUCUUUUGUUUUCCUCUCACUGCUACACACUAAAGGUGGCCCUAGUGGGACAGAACUGACCUCUGAAAGAACCUCAAAUUUCUGGCCAGAGAAACUCAGAUAAAGAGCUGCUGGGUAUCCUAAAGUGUGGGGGGAAAUCUUGGUGAGGAGAGAUCUGAAAAAGAGGAUCCUGAAUUCCAUUUAUGAACUGACAUAAGUCCUGGGCUCACCCUCAUGAGCAAAUAUGAAACAGCAGAAGAAGCAUAGAAAAGGGUUUGGGAACUAAAAUAAAUAUAAACCACCAUCCAGAUUCUAGAAUAACUCUGAGUGAUGCAUAUGGCAGGUAGACCCAAACACCAUAGCAGACUUUAAAACCAAGCUGACACUGAAGGGUGACUGGGUGGCUCAGUUGAUUAAGACUCCAGCUUUGGCUCAGGUCAUGAUCUCAGGGUCCUGAGAUAGAGCCCCACGGUAGCCUCCCCGCUCAGCAGGAAGUCUGUUGUCCCUCUCCCUCUGCCCCCCACCCCAGCUCCUGCUCUCCUUGUCUCUCUCUCAAAUAAAUAAAAUGAAAUAAAACUGAACUGAUGUUGGAACCAUCAUCCACAGAAAAUGAGGCAGAACUUACAGUCUAAACCUAGCUGCGUUGAUUCCUGAUAAAACAAAAAUUAAGCAUUUUCCAGCUGAUUUUAACAAAUCCCAGAGUCUUAUUCAAAAUACCUAGGACACAAUCCAAAUUAUUUGACAUAAAGAGAACCAGGCAAAUAUGAACAAUGACUAACACGUAAAGGAAAACACCCAGGUGCUAAUCUUGACAUGAACCAGAUGUUGCAAUUAUCAAAGACUUUAAUCAGCUAUUAUAACUAUGCUCCACGAGGUAAAGGUAAACACAAAUGAAAUGGAGAGAUAGAAUUCUCAGUAGGGACUUAAAACUGGAAGUUGAAAUUAGACCAUAUGCAAGUUUUGGAACUGAAAAAUAAAUACCUGAAAUAAAGAGUUCACCAAAUGGAUGUGCUCAGGAGCAGAAUAAGAGGAAAGAAUCAGUCAAGCUGAAUGAAGAUCGAGCUGAAGAACAGGAAGAAUAAAAUGAUCAAAAUUAAUGAAAAGAGCCUCAGUGACCUACGGAUCAAUAUCAAAAUGUCUAAAGUUGUAUCAUUAAAGCAUUGGGAAAGGAGAAAGAUUGGUCAAGAAAAAAGUAAUUGAAGAAAUAAUGGCUACAAACUCCAAUUUGGUAAGAGGCGCAAAUUUACAAAAUCAGGAAGUGCAGUCAUCCCCAACAGAAAACUAUGCUCAGAUACACCAUAAUCAAACUGUGGAAAACUGCCCCCUGCCAAAAAAAAAAAAAGAAGAAGAAGAAGAAAGAAAGAAAAAGAAAGGAAGGAAGAAAGAAUAUUGAAAGCAACAAGAAAAAAUAGUUUUAAAAAGGAAAUAUUUCACGUAAGAGAACAAUGGUUUCAGUGAUGGUAGAAGCGGGUGGCCCGGGUGGCUCAGCAGUGAAGCGUCUGCCUUCCUGUCAGGUCAUGAUCCCAGGGUUCUGGCAUAGUCCUGCACUGGGCUCCUUGCUCGGCAGGGAGCCUGCUUCUUCCUCUGCCUCCUCCCUCUGCUUGCUUCUCCCUCUGCUUGUGCUCUUGUGCUCUCUCUCUGACAAAUAAAUAGAAAUAAAAUCUUAAAAGACAAAAAAAUCAUAGAUGCUACAAGAGAGUCAGAAAACAUCUUUAAAGUGCUGAAAGAAAAAAAACCCUUUAAAUGAAAGUUCUAUAUCUAACAAAAAUAUCCUUCAGAAAUGAAGCAAAGGAAAGGCAUUCUUAGAUGAAGAAAAAGUAGAAGACUUCAGGACCAGCAUACCUGCUCUAUUAAAAUGCUAAAGGCAGUUCUGCAGGCUGAAAGGAAAUGAUACCAGAAGGAAAACUGGUAUCCUAAAAUUUCCUCAUUGCAUUGUUGACUUUAAAAUUAAAAGUUAUUUUACCAGUAAAAAUAGGUUUAUUUGGGAAUAGCAGAGGGUUGCAAUUUGGGGUAAAAAAACUACAGUAAAACCAUAAGCUAGCCAAAAAACAGAGGAGAGGAGAGGGACGUUAUUUUAUGGGGAAGAAAGAGGAAGUUGGGAAGGAGUAUUCUGAACAAAAUUCCAUUGGAGGGGCGCCUGGGUGGCUCCGUCGUUAAGCGUCUGCCUUUGGCUCAGGGCAUGAUCCUGGCGUUACGGGAUUGAGCCCCACAUCAGGCUCCUCCGCUAGGAGCCUGCUUCUUCCUCUCCUACUCCCCCUGCUUGUGUUCCCUCUCUUGCUGGCUGUCUCUAUCUCUG